CUUUAGUAUCAUGUCAUAUGAUCAUCUUAAUGAUUAAGAGACCUUAUGAUGCGGGCCCUAGUGUGGAGGAUCGGUCCCUUGCGUUCCUAGAGGCCCACGAUCGUGUGACUAAAGGGGCUUCAUGAAAAUGGCCAUAACUUUGGCUACGAAUCUCCGUUUUGGGCCUACGACCAGUCAAAUCGAAGCUUGGAGCAAGGAGCACAUCUAGAUAAGUCCCCAAAGGGGACUUACCCAUUUUUGAGUCCAUAAAUUGCUUUCUAAAUGGAGUUAUGAGCAAUUUUUGUUAUUUUUCCUUAAUUUUUGGGUUUUGUUUUUGGGUUUGUAUUUGGCCCAUGGACUUUUAGGGUUUCAUUUUAAUUUCUGCUUCUUAUUUAACUGUUUUUGAUGUAAUUUGGAUGGUCAAUCAUCAAUUUUAUGAACUUUCGAUUUUCUCCCAAAUUCUGUGUGUUAACCCAGAUUUUGAAGCCAAUCCCACGGUAUUCGUAGAAUCAACGUGGUUUUGAAGAGAUUGUCCUGGCUAUUCUUUUAGAAUCAACAGGUUCAUUCUUGGUUAUCUUUGUGUUGUUUUUUUGCGCUGCAUCACCUUAUCACAAUUCAUCCUCUAAGUGCAUUCUGAUAGCUAAUAAGAGGAGCUAUGAAUUGUUGAAGUGGUCAAAUCAAGAAGAUGAGUCAUAAUUUGUUCCAAAACAAGUCUUAGAGUCAUACUCCAAGACUGUAAGUUGAGUGACAUAUCUUAAAGGAAGGUUUCUUAACACUAGUCAAAUGUAAGAGUAAAAGUUUUCUACUCCUAUACAUUUGAAAUUGGUAAGUUGUGAUGUAACUAAGGCCAAUUGUGUGAAGUGUUUAUCUUGAUUAGAAUCCACACUAUCUCUUGAAUAUCUGACAAGAAAGUCUUAUAUGUCAAGAGGACAGUGGGAGUCUUAAAGGUAUUGAAAGUCUCAAGAACUAAUCAAGAAUAAAACAUGUAAGUUUAUCGCUAGCACACAACGUGAGGUUUAUAACCUAACGUGUUGACAUAUUUCUAUUUCUGUGUCAUUCCAGUUAAAUUUGAUUUUGCAUAUGAGUUCUUAGAGAUCUCAAUUGGUUGCAUAACAACUUGGAAGCAAUGGCAGGCUUUUGUGCUGCUAGGUGGCAAGAAGUUAACAUUGCACAAGUUCAAUCCAUAAGAGUUUGGAUUUGUCACUAACCUUGUGUUGUGAUUAUGGUUUUGACAAUUCACAUGGAUAACAACAUAUACACCAUUAAAUAUAAGUGUCAUAAGGGUUCUCUCUGAUUCAUGAAAAUGAUGGUUAGGAAACACUUUCACUAAGUAGAUUUUAACUAGAUAGCAAUUGUGAUAUUUGCAUUCUCAAAGUCCUUAGUGGAGCAUGUGUGGUUAACCGACACACUAACCUGGACUUGUGAAAAGUGGCAAAAGGUCUAAACGAUUGAGACUAUGAUUACGACAUCCCUUUUCAUAGUUCUUAAAAUUGUUUAGACACACCUAUGAGCUAUCUAAGAUAAGGUGUAUGAUAUUGAUAAAGUUUUAUCAAAGCAAUCUAGUAUCAGAAAUCUGAACUUUUGUAAGAAAGUCAAUAAAGUAUUGAUUUCUAUAAGUCCAGUUGAUUUCUGAGUACAUGUCAAAGCUAGUGGGAGUAUAAAUGUUAUGCUAAUACUCAUCAUGUUAGUGGGAGCAUGAUAAUUAUGAUAAGUAUUGCAAGUUAGUAAUGUUAAUUAUAGAAAACAAAAGUUUCAAUUCGUGAGGCUGCAGGGGUUGAAAAAGUUGUUUUGCU
rnacentral:lncRNA from 1 species